ACGUGGGGCUCAAACUCAUGAGCUGUGAGAUCAUGACCUGAGCCAAAGUCGGAUGCUCAACCAACUGAGCCACCCAGGCAUACUGAUGUUUCCACUGAGCUAGGCCACAGUACCCAGAUAUUUGGUGUAACAGCAGCCCAAUUGUUGCUGAGAAGGUAAUCUUUUAGCUUAGGUUAACAUUACGUCAGUAGACUUUGAGUAAAGCAAUUACCCUUCACAAUGUGGGGGGAGCCUUGUCCAAUCAGUUGAAGACCAUAGGAGAAGAAGAAUGAGGAUCCCUCAAAGAAGAGAGAAUUCUGCCUCCACGCUGCCUCUGGACUCAAGCUACAACAUUAAUUCUUCCCCAGGUCUUCAGCCUGCCAACCUACCUUGCAGAUUUCAUACUUACUGCUCCCUACAAUUGUGAGUCAAUUUCUUAAAUUAAGUCACUCUAAUACACCCAUACUCCCCUGCACACCCACUCUCUAUCAGUCUAUUCUCUGGAGAACCCUAAAACACUAGCCAAACACCCCCCAAAAGAGUCUCAUCCAUGUAUACCUCUGACAACAAAUGUCCAGUGAAAACCCAGACUUCCACCUUCACUAGACUGAAAUCAAGGGCCUCUCCUCCUGGCCUGGAUGGUAUUGGAGAAGAAUGAAGAAUGGUCAAGACUUACAGACCUACUGGGCAGUAACAAGUCUCCUUUCUCCGCUAUCCACCCUGUGGCAUCCAGUGUCAACCACACAGGGAGCCUGGACUUCCCUUCUACCCAUCAGUAAUGAGGCACCUCUCCUCCCACAUGCUAAGGUGGUAUCAGAGAAGGCCUUGUGGAGUCAGAACUUUCACCACUGUCCCAUGGUAACACCACCCAUGGUGUCAAUGGAGGCCACAUGUAGGCAGUAACAAGGUACCCCUGCGCUCAGUCAAGGUGCUGUCAGUAGAGGCCUAGUAGUGACCCUGAACUCCUGCUGCCACACAACAGUAACAUCCACCCUUGCACACCCCCAAUUAUCAAUGGAGACCAAGAAGGGAACCUGGAUUUCCAACUCCAUCUGGCAGUAACAAGGCAACCCCCCUUUCUUCCAUUAGUGUUGGGUCAGAGGUCAGCUAAAAUGGAAGACUUCAAGAAGAGCCAGAAUUUCAUAAUACCCAAAAUGUCCCGGUAUCAAUCAAAACUCACUCAUCACAGUAACAACCAGGAUGAUCUCAACUCGCGUGACAAAUGACACCAGAUGCUGACACACAGAGAAUAAAGAUAUUAGCAUUAUCUAACAAAGAUUUUGAAGCAUCCAUGUUAAAAAUGCUUCCAUGAGCAAUUACAAACAUGUUUGAAACAAAACAGAAAGUCCCAGAAAAGAAAUAGAAAUAAAGAAGAACCAAAUGGAAAUUUUAGAAAUGAAAAGGACAAGAAAUGAAAAAAAAAAAGUUCAGUAGAUAUGCUCAAAAGCAGAAUGGAGAAAUCAGAGCAAGGAACCAAUGAACUGGAAAAGAUAAUAAGGAAAUUAUACAAUCUGAGUAACAGAAAGAAAAAAGGGCAGAAAAAUAGAGUUCCAAGGACCUGUGGAGCUAUGACAAAAGCUGGAACCUUCAUGUCACCGAGUUCCAGAAGGAGAGGAUAAAGAGGACAGGGCUGAGAGAACACUAGAAACAAUAAUGGCUGAAAGCUCCCCAAAUCUGGAAAGAUGCUCACACUCAUGGAAUCAAGAAGGUGAAUGAAUCCCAAACAGGAUAAACUCAAAGAACCAGAGAAAAGUGACACCUUGAGUCUAGGGGAAAAAUAAGUAGGAUGACAGAUUUCUCAUCAGAAACCAGGGAGGCCAGAAAAAGGGGUACCAGAUUGUUUGAGUAGUUAAAGAACAAAACUGUCAACCCACAAUGUUAUAUCCAGAGGAAAAACAUACCAGAAAAUGGCACAAAUUCUUAAAAUAGUAAUUAUAAAAGAAGGAACUGUGGAAAAUUAGGAAGGAAAAAAGAACAAAAGAAUAAGGAUAUGGAAUAAAACAAUUGAUUUUUCUUCUCAAGUUUUCUAAAUUAUUGUUUAAAGGUUGAAGCAAAAAUUUUAACAUGUUUUGAUGAGGUUCUCAACAUACACAGAAGAAAUAUUUAAGACAGUUAUAAACAGGGGUGGCUAAAGGGACAUAAAGAGACGUAGGAUUUCUAACACUUCACCUAAACAGGUACAGCCAGUCAAGAAAAUCGUUUGGCGGUUUCUUAACAACUGAAACCUCUAUCUACCAUGUGAUCCCAGCAAUCACAUUACUGGGCAUUUAUCCCAGAGAAAUGAAAACGUAUAUCCACACAAAAACCUGUGCACAAAGAUUCACAAAAGCUUUGUUUGUUAGAGCCAAACAAACAAAAUGACUUAUACCAGGUGAGUGGAUAAACCAAUUGCACUACGUCUAUAUCAUGAAACACAACUCAGAAAUGAGGAAUCGAUACACACAACUUGGAUGGAUCUCAAGGGCAUCAUAUGCAAAGAAAAAAAAAAAGGCAGUCUCAAAGGUUACACGCUACAGAAUUGCAUUUACGUAAAAUUCUCAAAAUAGCGAAAUCAUAGAGAUGGAAGACAAAGUAACCGUUGCCAGGGGUCAGGGAUAGAGAAGGUAGCACGCAACUCUUAUGGAAUGGUACAAGAAGACUUUUGCGCCAGUAGAAUAGUUCUGUCCCUUGAUCCCAGUGGUGGAACAUGAAUCUAUAUACAGGCGAUAAAGUGGCACAGAAUCAUACUAAUUCCAUGGUCUGUGAGUAUACUCCACUUACAACGUGAGAAACUCGAUAAGGAGUAUAUGUACCCUUCUCUGUAGGUUCUUUGUAACUUCCUGGGAAUCUAAGUAUUUCACAAUAAGAAGUUUUUUAAAUGAAAACAAAAAAAGCAGUAAGGAGCCUCAAUAUUUGGCAGGACGGUACAGGUGACUGGAACUGGUUAACUUGGGUCACUAACAGAAGGGCCUAUCUUUCUCCAAACAAACUCAGACAAUAUGAACUAAAAAGCAAAAACAUAUAAAAUCUUCGUGAAAACCCUUCACCAUGAGAGGAGAAAUGGAAAGGAUGGAACGCAGUGAGGAGACCUGAAGGAGAACAGAGACAACAGUAAUCAGAAGAAGGGUGAAAGGUGAGCAGCCUGGAUUUGGAGGCCCACUUGCCCUACCACGUAAGAAAUGUCAGAAAGAACUUUGCAGAAAACUCUCCAACACAGGAAGGCGGGCUUGACUCAAGAAGUCCUUCUGCUACCACCAGAUGGACUUGCUCCUGUGAUUCCCCAUCUUUCCACUAUAGUACGUAACACAAUUGACUAUAAUUAUCUACUCGUGUGACUGUAGCCGUAUGGGACAGCAAGUUAUGAGGACACAAAUGCUCAAAGGCAGCUUAGUCCAUGUUUCUUUAACUCAAGUCCAUUUAACUAAUUGUUUAAGUAUUAUAGGCUUAUUUGCUCUUACAUCCAAAAAACAGCACUAAGACAUGAAUGUAGAAACUAUCAGCAUGAUGCAUUUGUAACUUUCAGAGAAGAAACCUAUGCCUACAAUAGGUAAUGAAGCACUUGGAGCAGUCAAGUCUAACAAAAUAGUCAAAAUGAUGCCCAAUAGGGCCCAACAUGUAUGUAGAGUGAAACAGCUGAAGCUUCCAUGACAAAACAUAUCCUGUCUUACUCUGAUAACUGUACAGCAUCUAUUAAAAAGUCAAUCUUUGAUGGGGCACCUGGGUGACUCAGUCAGUUAAGCAUCCAACUUCUGCUAGGGUCACGAUCUCACGGUUCGUGGGUUCAGGCCCCACAUUGGGCUCUGUGCUAACAGC